rnacentral:lncRNA from 1 species
UGUAACUCUUCCUUUCCUGUCUUUCCAGCUCUUAGGAUACUUCAUAAGUCACAGUUUAGUGGGGAUUCACACACUCAUCCAUUUAAUCUUUUUUGUAUUCAUCUAUCCAUGUAUCCAUUCAUCUAUGUAUUUGAAUGCUGAGCACUCACAGCGUAGCCUUUUCAACGUGCCUGGAACCAUGUCUUACCCAUGAGAGGGGACACCAAACUCAAUAAGCCUUGGUUCCAUCCCCAGUGAGCUCAUGUAAGCAGAAAUUGAAACAGAGCCGGGUGAAAGUGCUGUGACAAAACUGUGUGAACACAGAAGAUGAAAACGCAGAGCAGCAGGUGAGGGAGAGCUUCCUGGACGAGGUGUCACCUGCACCAAGCAUUCAAGAAAGAUCAAUUGACAUUUACUACUUGCCGAAGAACAGGUUAGAAGCAAUCAGCAACCUCACUCCUGGCCUGGAAUCAAGCCGAGUGAGUCACAGAGUCCUGGACCUUGCCCAAGAAGGAAAAAAUCGUGGAAGAAAUCGUCUGGGUCCCAGGGCCAUUCCCACAUACAGGAAAAGCAGGCGCCUCCAU